ACCCCGAGGAAAAGAAAUCAACCGAGAUUCCCCCAGUAGCGGCGAGCGAACGGGGAGGAGCCCAGAACCUGAAUCAGCGUAUGUGUUAGUGGAAGCGUCUGGAAAGUCGCACGGUACAGGGUGAUAGUCCCGUACACAAAAAUGCAUAUGUUGUGAGUUCGAUGAGUAGGGCGGGACACGUGACAUCCUGUCUGAAUAUGGGGGGACCAUCCUCCAAGGCUAAAUACUCCUGACUGACCGAUAGUGAACCAGUACCGUGAGGGAAAGGCGAAAAGAACCCCGGCGAGGGGAGUGAAACAGAACCUGAAACCGUGUACGUACAAGCAGUGGGAGCACCUUCGUGGUGUGACUGCGUACCUUUUGUAUAAUGGGUCAGCGACUUAUAUUUUGUAGCAAGGUUAACCGAAUAGGGGAGCCGUAGGGAAACCGAGUCUUAACUGGGCGAAUAGUUGCAAGGUAUAGACCCGAAACCCGGUGAUCUAGCCAUGGGCAGGUUGAAGGUUGGGUAACACUAACUGGAGGACCGAACCGACUAAUGUUGAAAAAUUAGCGGAUGACUUGUGGCUGGGGGUGAAAGGCCAAUCAAACCGGGAGAUAGCUGGUUCUCCCCGAAAGCUAUUUAGGUAGCGCCUCGUGAACUCAUCUUCGGGGGUAGAGCACUGUUUCGGCUAGGGGGUCAUCCCGACUUACCAAACCGAUGCAAACUCCGAAUACCGAAGAAUGUUAUCACGGGAGACACACGGCGGGUGCUAACGUCCGUCGUGAAGAGGGAAACAACCCAGACCGCCAGCUAAGGUCCCAAAGUCAUGGUUAAGUGGGAAACGAUGUGGGAAGGCACAGACAGCCAGGAUGUUGGCUUAGAAGCAGCCAUCAUUUAAAGAAAGCGUAAUAGCUCACUGGUCGAGUCGGCCUGCGCGGAAGAUGUAACGGGGCUAAACCAUGCACCGAAGCUGCGGCAGCGAACGUAUCACUUAAAACGCUUAACGUGACGGCAAAGCCGGCAUGUUCAAGCCACACUAAACGUUGAGUUGGCCGGUGUGCUGACAAACGAACAGGCGUUUUAAGGAUACGUUCGUUGGGUAGGGGAGCGUUCUGUAAGCCGUUGAAGGUGGUCUGUGAGGGCUGCUGGAGGUAUCAGAAGUGCGAAUGCUGACAUAAGUAACGAUAAUGCGGGUGAAAAACCCGCACGCCGGAAGACCAAGGGUUCCUGUCCAACGUUAAUCGGGGCAGGGUGAGUCGACCCCUAAGGCGAGGCUGAAAAGCGUAGUCGAUGGGAAACAGGUUAAUAUUCCUGUACUUGGUGUUACUGCGAAGGGGGGACGGAGAAGGCUAGGCUAGCCGGGCGACGGUUGUCCCGGUUUAAGCAUGUAGGCGGAGUGACCAGGUAAAUCCGGUUGCUUAUC
rnacentral:rRNA from 1 species